rnacentral:rRNA from 1 species
ACGGGGGGCAGCAGGCGCGAAAACUGUAGCAUGGGGGAAACCACGAUGCGGGAAACCCAAGUGCCAGCACUAUGUGUUGGCUGUCCUCGACUGUUUGUAGGUCGGGAAGAAAGUGCUGGGUAAGACGGGUGCCAGCAGCCGCGGUAA